UAAUACAGAGACUGCAAGCGUUAUUCGGAUUCACUGGGCGUAAAGGGUGCGCAGGCGGCCAAGUGUGUGAGGUGUGAAAGCCCGGGGCUUAACUCCGGAAUUGCACCUCAAACUACUUGGCUAGAGCAUUGGAGAGGGUAGCAGAAUUCAUGGUGUAGCAGUGAAAUGCGUAGAUAUCAUGAGGAAUACCAGAGGCGAAGGCGGCUACCUGGACAAUUGCUGACGCUCAGGCACGAAAGCGUGGGAGCAAAAGGGAUUAGAUACCCCUGUAGUCCACGCCCUAAACGGUGCACACUAGGUCUUGGCGGAUUCGACCCCGCCAGGGCCCCAGCUAACGCGUUAAGUGUGCCGCCUGAGGACUACGGCCGCAAGGCUAAAACUCAAAGGAAUUGACGGGGGCCCGCACAAGCGGUGGAGUAUGUGGCUCAAUUCGAUGCAACGCGAAGAACCUUACCUGGCCUUGACAUGCAGGAGACCGGCGCUGAAAGGCGCCUUUCC
rnacentral:rRNA from 1 species